AUUGAACGCUGGCGGCAGGCCUAAUACAUGCAAGUCGAACGGAGCGGCGCACGGGGGAGUAAUGCCUAUGAAUCUGCCUGGUAGCGGGGGAUAACGACCGGAAAAGGGCGCUAAUACUGCUUACUAUCAGAUAUGCCUAGGUCGGAUUAGCUAGUUGGUGGGGUAAAGUCCUACCAAGGCGACGAUCCGUAACUGGUGUGAGAGGAUGAUCAGUCACACUGGAACUGAGACACGGUCCAGACUCCUACGGGAGGCAGCAGUGGGGAAUAUUGGACAAUGGGCGAAAGCCUGAUCCAGCCAUGCCGCGUGUGUGAAGAAGGUCUUCGGAUUGUAAAGCACUUUAAGUUGGGAGGCGUUACCAACAGAAUAAGCACCGGCUAACUUCGUGCCAGCAGCCGCGGUAAUAC
rnacentral:rRNA from 1 species